rnacentral:lncRNA from 1 species
UUAAAAAAAGGAACCUACCUUGGAUUUUUAUUACUUUUUUAUAUUUUAAAACUAUAACAUUAUUUACAAAACAUAAAAAAAAACUUUAUAAUAUUAUAAACUUCUCUUUCACUAUUUCUUAUGAGAUUUAUUUUCAGCUGUUUAUUUUGAAAUGCUCGUUCACUAGAAAAAUAAAGUCGAUAGUUCUAAUACUAUAUAUCAUGUCUGAUGGAGUCGAUCGUCGAAUCGGAUAUUCUAUCGUCGAAAAUAAUUUAAAAGUACGAAGGUCUCCGUCCAUAUAGGGUAGGAGCAGUGUUGAAUUAUUUGAUAAAAUCAGAAAACCUCUUUAUAAAUGCCUUUUUUUCACUUUUCUGUUUGAAUUUCAAAAUCUAUAUUUUACUCUCUUAAAAUUUUAAGUUGAUGCAUUAAUUUCCCUCUGUCAGGUUUUUGUCACUAUUCCGACCAUUUUGUAUAAUUUAUACAGAAAAUACUUUGGAAUAUGCCCUAAAAAAUAACAAAAAUAUAUUAACAAAAUUUAUUACACAACAAGUAUUAAUAAUUUUGUCACGCCCCGGAUUACUCGUUCCCCGGGCGCGCCGACAAAUCUGCCGUAUACAAAGAAAUUUCCUCUGUAUACGAAGCAAUAGCUAUACCUGUAAAUCAUACAAUACUACAAACAGUAGUAUAGAGCUGCUAGAAGAACCAGUAAUAAAAACAAACCGAGUUCCAUAUACAUACGCCAAAUCCAAGAUACAACACUACUCGCAUUGGCGAGUUAAAUAUAGAUAUGUACAUGAACUCCAACAAAACAACUACCUACUGUAGGGGUAUCUCUAGCUCGGCUCGUCGGGUAGGGCUCUAACUCGCGACGCCCUUGCCUCGAUCCUAAUCAGCAACAGCAGCAGCCGAAGACGAUGGCUCUGCAAAAAUGGGGUAACAAUAGGGCGUGAGAACUACUGUAAAACAAGUAGUCUUCGGUGGGUGCCGCCCUCAACAACAUCGGUCCACCCACUAAGUCUACAGAAGGGAGCAAAGGUAGUAAUAAAUGUUGGAAUAAAAAUCUACAGCUACCAUUUAUUAUACCAUCAUGUUCUAUGCUGACCUACUGUAGCAAUGUCAAACCUGACCCAAUCUCUUUAGGGACCGUAAACAUACCCGUCACAGGGACUGUGAACACACCCGUCCCGCCCAGUUGAGACUAUCCAGCUACCUCCACACUAAUCAGUCCGUGAAGAGCAAGUCUAACUGGCAUGCACGACACCAACGCAAAAGCACAGCGCCCGUCUCGGGAGUGGCACUCGUGGGAGCUACCCAACAGCGUAUGCAGCAUAUCUUUGUCGAGCUCAAUCAGGCUCCAACUAGCCAAAGUCAUGUAAACAAGGUCAAAACAGAUCUACAAACCAAACCCACGUGCCCUCAGCACAAUUUGGGACCAAAACAAGAAUCUGGGUCCACCGCCAACCCGAACGGCACCCAACGACCCGAAACAGCUUAGACUCUGCUGAAAAAUAAGCUCGGCACCCCAGCACGAGCGUAAAUGCCUUCUAAAUUACCCCAGAUAUCCAUCGCACUGAUACUGCAACGAUACAGUCGAACCACGGCUCCUAGAGCUAAAUCUGGUAGUUCAAGUAUAUGGCUGGUUAAAACGCAGGUUUUCUCCUAAAUCAAUUUUUCAAGUCCAACAUGUAUAAAUGUUACUUAUUUAGUAUGCUUAAAUUCAGGUUACAACCACAACUAAUCACUGAAUUUAAUCUAAUCACAUUGAAGAUCAAACAACAAGCAUACAUGUCGACUAUACAUUUACUCAUUUACUUAGGAGUAAUCCGAUGCAAACCCACCUCUAGUGCAAUUUCUUGGCUGCAAGAUGGUCUCGGAUCACAAGUAACUGUCACGCCCCGGGGCCCCUUUUCAGUUUAAAACAAAGCGGAAAGCGACUGAAUUUUUUUUUUUGAAAACCUGACCCCGGAGUAUGCCAGAUCCGCCACAAACACAGGGAAUCCACUGUUCACACGGACAGAGUCUCCCUUGUAUUUGCACGGCGUCACACAAGUACAAGAAGUAACCCAGGUACAACCACAACCAAAUGAACAUACAAAUAACCAACAAUUAUAUAUUCAUACACCAUUCACAUCACAGGUUCACAUUUAUGUAUUCGAUAUUCAAACAUAAAUCCACAUCUAUCAGUUAAAAAGUUUCCAACCACAGAAACAUGUUUUGAAAUACUAAGAUGCAAAAUCCACAGAAAACCUUUCGAAAACUGUUUCCUACACGAAAACCUUUAUUCUUUACAAACGCUACCACGAGGGGUAGAAAACCUUUUAUUUCAAGAAAUCACAAUUCCUUUAUUACAUUCCAAAACCAACUGAAAACUCAGAUAUUCAAUUAAUAAAACAAAACUGAACCAUGUAGACCGACUAAGCUAUAAAUAUCCACAGAAAUAAAAAGGGUAAUAGCUAAAUCGAAAUAACCUGGGUCGGAAGCUCUAUCGACCGCUACAAACGUACCUCACGUCUCGUCCCACUACUCAACGCCCGCGAUACCUGAAAAAUGGUGGGGGAGGUGAGAACAUGUAAACAUGUCUCCCCUCCCAGUGGGUACCGCAAGCCGAAGAAGGCGAGGAGUACUCACCGGAUCAGGAAGAGAUAACCAACAAUAUGGGUAAGUAAAAUACAGUAGCAACGAUAAUGGACGAACGAGAUAUAUAUAUAUGAAAACACAACUACCGCUACUGUAAUGUACAACUGCAAGCAUACAAGGAUAUCAAAACUAUAGUAGCAAGACAACUGUAAAGAAAGAACUAGAAGUACAUAUGCAACAACCGCUACUAUAGCUAUAUGCGUCAACCGGACGAGAAGUCCAAAAGUACCCAAUCUAAACCGCCGUGUCGGUCUAAGGACCUCAGGCAAAAGCCACUAUCUGCUCACACCUGGCAUGUAACCCUAGCACAAAGAGAACACCGCUGGGCUCACGGGUCGGAUGUACGACCACUUUUCCGGAAAAGAACACCCUCCUGCGGGGGAUCAACCCGCUGGUGUACGUGAAAUGCACUCGAGCUGUGGCGAUCAAUGCGGAUAUGAUCAAUAGCCAACCGUCGGCAAUCAGCCGACAAUCACUGCCCCUCUGGGCAUACCGACCGUGUAGGUCAUCAAGUAACAACGUGAACCGACCGAGAUAGGUCAAUGUACGGAAAGUAACGAACGACCAAACAGGUCACCGAUGCAAACAGGAGAACCGACCAACCAGGUCACAAGUAUAGUAUAUACGAAUGCCAUCUACUCUACCCCUAUACAGGAUACUACACAUAGAACAACCAGGCAGAGUAAAUAAAGAUAAUAUGUAGAUACUGCUGGAUGUCAACUAGAAGUACGAACGCAAGAACCGACCGAUAGGUCACAGGAGUGUAUUCGAUAUAGUUCAGAACUACCGUCAGCACCAGCCGACAAUCCUACCCCUCAGGGUACACCGACCUCAAAGGUCAUCGAACAACAGAAGUCAAGAAACAGACCAACCCAAUACAUAAUGCAACAACCGACCAACCAGGUCAACGGACAUAAGAUAAAAGCACCGAUCAACUAGGUCACCGAAACGAAGUACGAGAACCGACCAAUCAGGUCACCGGAAUAAAGUACGAGAACCGACCAAUCAGGUCACCGAUAUCACAUAUGGAUAAACUACUCUACUCCUACACAUGAUACUAAGCAUAGAACAUAUGAGUAGAGUAUAAUAGAAACAACGGGGAUGCAAGCUCAAUAUAUAAUACGAAAAUAGCAAUAGAAAAACAGGGAUAGAAGAAUAUCACCGAGCGUGCACCACUGUACCGACUUCGGAUCGAAGUACCCACCUGUCACUGUCGCGUCGGAACACUGGGUACGCACAAGUCGACCGGACCUACGAAGAUCCCACGGGUCAGUAACCAACCCACUCACCUGAAGUACACUGUCUCACAAACCCCACACAGAACCCCGUAUCGGUUUCCCAAAACCGAUCAUCGUAACUCACCGGAAGUCCCGAAAACCACACCGGGACGCCGUCGGGACCCACUAAGUGUCCCGAACUCACCGACUCGUGCCACGAGUCACCUGCUGCCCCAAAACACUCCAAUUUGGGUGUUUGGGUAGUAAACACAAGAUAACACCCCUACACAAUUAUCGCCGGAUAAUUGUGCGAAUUCGGGUUCCCGGAAGUGUCUAUUUCGACACUGUAACGCACCGUCGCUCACCCAUCAUCACCGAACCCCCAAUGUGAUGAUGGUGACCCGCCAACAAGGCUCAGCGACUACACAAUAGCUCACAAAGCAUCGUCGAAAUAAUUCCGAACCGAACCCGCGUUCCGUCGGCGGAUUUCGCCGAAAAAACGCACCGGAAAUGCAUUUUCGAUCUUCGCAAGGGUCUGGGGCCUUGGACAAUCAGUCCAGAGGUUGUCCCCAGCCCUGACCUGCCGCCAACAACAGCUACAACAAAGCGAACGGCAUACAAGUCCCUAACAACACAUGAAAUCACAUCAUUUUAUGUGAUUUCAUGGCUCCGACGAGUCGUACAAGCAAACCGGGGAUCAACGAAGGGUGACAUCACACCUGCUGCUAGAUUUCAGCAUGCCAGAGGCCGUGCUCACCUUUCGGAGCACUGCCGGCCGCAACAGCGCGCGCACGAGCGGCACGACGUUCAGCGAACAAGCGCGCACAGCAUGAAAAUCUACCUAAACCCGCUAACCGGGGCAUCCCUAACCCUCACAGAGGUGAGCAUCGUGUUCAGCACGAACCCACGAUCUCCGUGCUCACCUCCUGGGGUGUAAGGGAGUCGUCGGAUCACCGGAAAGGUGGCCGGAAAGCUAAGCUACUGUGCUGGAAUCUAAAAACAGCCUUACCGGAGCUAGGCAGGGCUCGGGGUGGCCGGCGGCGGCCGGGAGGCGGGCAACUACGGGCCGGGGAUGGGGAAGCGGUCCGAGACGUCCGGGGGAGGUGCUGUGCGGCGGCGGCUUGCAGGGGGCGGCACCUGGUGGCGCCGGCGUGGAGGAGAUCCACUCCUGCCACUCCCUUGUGUAAGCUAGCCCGGCGGGGCGGCGGCGCUGGAGGCAUGGUCGGUGGCGUGGUACGUGCGGGCGCCGGAGGGCCGACGAGGGAAGGCGAUGAUCCCCACGUGUGGAGUGCGUGAUGAAUAGCCGGGGCAGGCGGCAGCUUGAGAGGGAGCAUCGCGGCCGACCUACGGCCGUGACGCGUAGGCUUGGGCGGCUGUAGGAGCUUCACGCGGCGGCGAGCGCGUGGGUUCUAAGCGACGCCGGGGGAAACAAGCGUCGUCAGAGAGUCGCGCGACAGGCAAAUGAGCGGCCGCAGCCGCUCGAGGGGAUGCGGCGCCAGUGGAGGGCAAAUAAUAGUCGCAGGUCGGCCUGGGUGAUAAUUGCGGUGGCCGGCAGGGUUGGGCCGGCUUGCCCGGCGCGGUUGCGCAGGCCGAUGGCGGCCGGCGGCAGGGUGUGCUCGGCGGCUCCGAUGUGGGAAGGCUCGUCUCGGCCGUCCGCAAGAGUUGGCGAGGCGGCCGUAGCUAGCAGGGAGCUUAAGCUGCGUGGGGCCAGAUCUGUCAUAGAUCUGCGCUCAGCCUGCCUAGGCGGACCCUGAGUGGCGCAGUGGGAACGACCGGGACGGCUCGCGGCUUCGCCGGAGGGUUGGGCAUGGCCAGGGGAAGGGGAGCCGAGCGCGUUGAUGAUUGGAGCCAGGUGAGUCCACCGGCGAGGGAUGGAGAGGUGGAUAGAUGGGAGUGAGAUGAGAGAAAGAUGGGCAGGGGGGCUGCGGUUCAAGUUUUCGCGGCCGGCGGUGGGAGGCACCUGCGGCGCCGCGGGGUGGAGCAUGGUUAGGGCCAGUAGCUACUUGAGGUCGGCAUAGGGCAAGAAGGUCGAGUAGAUCUAAGGGUUGUUCGUGCCAUAGAAAACCUAGAUGCACAUGGUGAUACAAGUGCAUUUUGCCACCAAAUUCCACCGAAACUACAAAUUCAAAACCUAGUCCUACACGUAGCACAAGUAAAGCUGCGAAAUACCUUCUACCGUGCGAUUUCACGCAGGAAACGGUACUUAAAAUGUCGCGGACUUUUGCUGAAAUUACCGUUUAUGCAACACCGACUUCACGUCGCAAUCAACGACACGGGCGAUCUCCGCAGAUCCGUCCUGUCAGAUUGCGACAAGGAUUGCACAGAUGCGUAUCGCAAGCACCUCGAGACAACAAAGCUAACACCUUCGAUUCUCAUCGUCGAUCGCCACGGAUUCCAACAAAUCCAACCUUUUCCCUAAUUAGAAGGAAACACACACACAAAUACAUGAUAAAAUGUAUUUUUUGGGAUUUUCUCGAAAUCCGUGCAUCAAACUCAAAAUCCGUCAGCGCCAGUAGUUCCAGAAUAGCUGAAUCCUUCGAAAUGAGCUAUUGGACUGAUAUGAACGGAGUCCGAUACGCACCAGAAGCCAACUCUACUCCGUGGCUUCUCCGGAAAACCGGAGUUACUAUUCACUUAAGUGAAAACUAAUAAUCGCGUAACUUCUCCGUUUAAGCUCAUUUUCUCCUGAAACUUGACGAGUGCUUAUGUAAUUAAAUUACACACAUAAACAUCGUCAACAGAGAGUUUAGUUGCACUGUCGAAAAUCUCAGUCCUUACAUCAUCCCCCCCUUAAAAGAAGUUUCGUCCCCGAAACUUGACCACGUAUCCACCGUACUCGAACCCUGACAUUGCUCCACCAACGCGGUAACACCUUUGGAUACUGGUUCAUCACAAAUCUAGAAUUGGACAGAUCAACCUCUGAAAAGGGGAGAAUAAGACUGUGGUUCCACAAGAACAAGACGAGGGGAACGUACCAAACCAACGUCUGCGGACCAUAACACACCUGGAUCAACACCAUCCUGUAACCUUGGUCCGAAAAGCCUCAACCGACUCGACCACGUCACUAAGUUCACGAGAAAGAAUCACGAACCAACACCACCAAACAGGAGUCUAAUUACCUAGAUCGGAGCAAAAUAUUCUCGACUAGCCGACAAAAUCAACUUGCUCACCACGAGCGGAAACGAAACGUUCUCCUAAAACUCGAGUUGGUAGAAACAGCCUCUGAGACUACAGUCUCCCACUAACCGAUCACGCAACUGCCGAAGUCAAGUCCACAUCCACGGAAAGCCGCCUUUGACAUUCGACAGUCUUAGGUCCCACAACCUCACCUUUCACCUGACCGAAAAGGUCGAAGGCUGACAAUACUAAUUGAGCUCGACAAUUCGCUUGCUCAAUUAAAACUGGUUCGACUAAACCAAUAAACUCGCCAUGCAAGUCCAAAACUUGGUGCACAGGAUUGCCAAUCGCACUAAACAAUACCAACCAUCGGUGAUGCUCAACACCUGUCUCUACGAGACCCUGUCGCUGUCGUCCUACAAGGGACCCUAGCGAUCGGUGUUUCGAGCAACACCAGAUAACUGUCUCAUUGAGACCCUGGCGCACCUGUCACUAAUUAACCGGAUGAGCAUACAAUUCCAAAGUCGCACAAUAGGCUGAAAUACAAUCCUUACACAAUAUCACCUAUAGUGACAAUCAAAACCAACAACUAGGCUCAAGUCACUCAACCAAAAAUUCUGAACCUCAAGACAACAGACCGAAACUACUAACCAACAAACCUUUUAGCUAAUUGGGGGCACAACUAAAAGCUAUGAACACCCAGGCUCGAACCAGAGUCAGAACCACCUGCAGUGAUGAUAAAUCAACUGCGCAAACCUGCCAAGAGAAUCCAAGGCCCACAACGUGGUCAAAGAUGACCGAUACCCAAUCAUCCUCACAAGACUAUCUCUCUAGCUUUUCACACAAAACAGCCUAGAGAACACAUCGACCCAAUCCAUAAGUCCCAAAUGGGAAGAUGGUAUUUCGUUCCUCUUUCGACAGUAUAUUGUCUGCAGCCAAUAUACUUAUCAAAAGAAAAGCGAAAUAUCCGAAGAUCCACUACCAACAACAAGUUGGAAGUACAACGCGAUAAAGUAUCAAGCUAUUUGAUACCUUUCUACUGAACCAGAAGCUCACAACCAUUACUAUCGGAACAUCGGUUUAACAAGUCGACAUUCGAAAUUAGAACGACCCUGGAACAUCUCGAAUCUAGACCAACUACAACUAACCCACAACACACCAAUUUGGGUGUUAGAAUAACCGCAUACGAUGUAUGCCUUAACGAAAACAUGACACCAAAACUGUGUCAAUCCGACUCUAGUAGGAAGAAGGAACGAGGUAAAGGUCAAAAGAUCCGAAUCGCUGAUUCCAAUCAGCAAUCAAAGAAGAUAGGUAGGCAUCACAACCCUACCCAAAGGUCUGUGGAAGCAACACUAACAAUGCAGUCGCCUAAACGACCGCUACCAAACCCUGGGCUACACCCUAGUAGCCCCACGGAAGUCGCAACUUUAACAGAGCUCAAUGCCAUCUCCGUAGAGACACUCGCAGUAGCUCUCGUGUCCUAAGUAGGAAGAGUGGCCCGGGCAUCGGCAAUAGAAUAAUUGCCUAUGCUCGAAAAUCUCACCUGGCCCCUCAGGGCCCCCACCUGACAGGAGUGGCACCAUCUGGGGGAACGUCGCCCCACCACUUGAUGUCCGAAAAAGUAUACCGCCACUACACCCGACUUAGACACCAGCUUGUGCGAACCGUAACACGUACAGAAACACCAUGCACUUCGAGUUUACCAAACUCGAAUGCAACCCAGGACACAAGUCCAAACCCCGCACUCACGUGCCUAUACACCGUGGUCUUCCUAUUGGUCAACCUAACCAAUGGUUCAGUUUCAUUUACUUUUCAAAAACAACCUGUGAAUGGUGUUGUGGUUGUAACCUCGCUCUGAUACCACUUUAAUCUGUCACGCCCCGGGGCCCCUUUUCAGUUUAAAACAAAGCGGAAAGCGACUGAAUUUUUUUUUUUGAAAACCUGACCCCGGAGUAUGCCAGAUCCNNNNNNNNNNNNNNNNNNNNNNNNNNNNNNNNNNNNNNNNNNNNNNNNNNNNNNNNNNNNNNNNNNNNNNNNNNNNNNNNNNNNNNNNNNNNNNNNNNNNGGUCCACCGGGUUAGAGUCUAACCCACAAACACAAUAACACGACCAUUCUCACACAAAUCCCAAAAUCAUAACCCCUCGAAAAUCGGUUUCUCAACCGCAACUUCCGAACCAGCCGGAAGUCCCGGAAACCGUACCGGAACUCCACCGUUGCUCACCCGUCGUUUCUGAACCCUCGAGACGACAUGGGUGGCCAGCCAACAAGGCUCAGCGACGCAACAAUCAACCACGAGGCACUGUCGGAUGAAUUCCGAGUCAAACACGCGUUCUAUCGGCGGAUUUCGCCGAAAAACGCUCCGGAAAUGACAGUUAGAUUUUCGCAAGGGCUUGGGGCCUUGGACGAUCAGUCCAGAGGUUAUCUUAAGCCUUAACCUGCUGCCAACAGCAGCCACGACGAAGCGAAACGCAAAAGGAUCCCUAAUGGCCCAUGAAAUCACAUUAUUUUAUGUGAUUUCAUGGCUCUAACGGGUCGUACCAGCAAACCAGGGAUCUACGGAGGUUGCCAUCGCACUUGCUGCAAGGUUUCAGCACGCCUGAGGCCGUGCUCACCUUUCGGAGCACUGCCGGCAGCAACCACGCGCGCACGAGCGAUGCGAACCUCAGCGAAACAGUGCGCACACUGUGGGAAACAACCUUUUCUUACUAACCAGGGCGUCAUUGAUCUAAAUGGAGGUGAGCGUCGUGUUAAGCACGAGCCCACGAUCACCGUGCUCACCUCCCGAGGUGCCAGGGAGUCAUUGGAUCACCGGAAAGGUGGCCGUAACGCAAAACAGCAGUGCUGGAACCAAAAUAAACUACUCACCGGAGCUGUGGGAGCUAGGGAUGGUCGCCGGCGAUCGGACGGCGGGCACUCCGGCCGGUGAUGGGAGCAGCAGGUCGGGGAGGUCCGGGGGAGGUGCUGGACGGCGGCGGGCAGCAGCCGGUGGCGCGGCGGCGGAGAUCGGGCCCGCACACUUCCUCUCGGGCUGGAGCUUGCCGGCGGCGAGGCGGCGACCGGGGGAGGUCGGGGCGGCGAUGAUCCGGUGCCUGAGACCAAGGGGGAGGUGGUGCUCACCUCAGAGGGCAACGGCAGCGCUCGGGAGUGGCGCGGCUCCAAGGUCGGCCCGCACAGGACCCGAGCGGCGGCGGGAGACCUUGGCGGCGGCCGGCGGGGCGCGGGGACGGCCGGGGACGCGCGCGCCGGGUUGCUGGAGGUCGCCGGGGUCGACAGGGGGGCUUGGCCGCAGGGGAAGUGCGGUCCCAAAGCCCGCAACCUGAGCUCGGCCUGGCUCGGGUCUGGGCAGACCCGGCUGGCUGCAGCCUCUUCCGGCGGCUCCGGCGACGCUCGGGGGUGGCCGGGGCCGGCGGGGGAGGGCGCCGGAGGAAGAUCUCGACCAGGGGAAGGUGGUGCUCUGGCUAACAGGCCUCUCCAAGGACCAAGCUUAAGCCGGUGGUGAGGUGGUCCAAGAGAGGAGGAAUGUUGGCUGCAGGCUGUUUCCGGCGGCCGGGGCUGCUCGGCGGCGGCCGGAACGCGAGCACGGGCAGGGCAGGGAGGUGCUGGGAUGGCAGGGGCGGCUGGGGUUAGCUGGGGGGUUCUAGGGUUAGGGUUAGCUCAAGAAACCCUAGGACAACCUAUAUAUAGGUGCAGAAAACUCGCGGAAAACCCCCUCGAAAGGAAUCUAAUUAAUCCCAGCUCUCAACCAGCAGUCGCAUAACGCACGAUAGUCCCUCUAAGUUCGAAAACUCGCAAUUCGACGCAUAAAAUAUAGGGCCUUUUCGCGAAUAAUCCGAUUACUCAAAUCAGCCCCUUCGCGGACUUUUCGCGAUUCCCGAAGAUCCGUCCGUCGGAUUUCCGAUCGGAUCGCACCAGCGCGAUCAGCACGACAGAGGCAUCGAAUCUAGCAUCUCGUUUCGCCCGAAAAGAUUCCCGAUUUGCGACAAAACCAUCCCUCCUAGGUUCCACCAAAAACCACAUAUAGACAACUAUAUGCAAAAACCAUUAAACCCCUUUUUCUCGAAAUCCGUGCAUCCAAAUCCAAUUCCGUCAGUGCCAUUGGGUCCAGGAUAGUCGAGCGGUUGAAAACGAGCUAUUGGAAGGCUAUAUUCGGAGUCCGAUACGCGUCGAAAGUCCACUUUACUCCGCGGCCUCUCCGGAAAACCGGAGUUACUAUUCACUUAAGUCAGACUUCCGGGUCGCGUAACUUCUCCGUUUUAACUCGUUUUCUCCUGAAAUUUGACGAGUACACUUAUAAUUAUAUUACACACAAGAACAUCAUCAAACAAAAGGGUUUAAUCAAUAAAUCAAAAAUCUCAGUUAUUACAUCAUCCCCUCCUUACAAGAAGUUUCGUCCUCGAAACUUAAAUCAAGACUCCCCCGCAAACAACUGUGGAUAACGCUCCCGCAUAGACGAUUCAAGCUCCCAAGUAGCCUCGCGCUCCUCGUGGUUCUCCCACUGGACCUUGACAUACGGAAUGCUCCUAUUCCGCAACUGCUUCACCUCACGUGCCAAGAUCUGCAACGGAGCCUCAUCAUAGCUCAGAUCCUCCCGUAGCUGAAUGGAUGUCGGACUGAUGAUGUGGGACGGAUCCGGGAUGUACUUCCGAAGCAUGGACACGUGAAAAACGUUGUGCACUCGGGCGAGACUCGGAGGAAGAGCCAAUCUGUAAGCCACCGGACCAACGCGCUCUAGGAUCUCAAACGGUCCCACGAACCGCGGACUAAGCUUGUUCCGCAAACCGAACCGUUUGAUUCCCCUGGAAGGCGACACCUUGAGCAGCACAUGCUCACCGACCUGAAACUCCAGGUCACGCCUCCGCUGGUCCGCGUAGCUCCGCUGUCUACUCUGUGCAGUCUGAAGCCGCUCUCUCGCAAUGCGGAUCUUUGCCUCCGCGUCCUCUACUAAGUCUGGCCCUACCAACCGGCGUUCUCCGACAUCGUCCCAACAGAUAGGAGAACGACAUCGACGCCCAUACAACGCCUCGUACGGUGCCAUCCCGAUGCUCGCCUGAAAGCUGUUAUUAUAGGCGAACUCCACCAACGGUAAAUACCGAAACCAUCCAUCACCGUAAUCCAGGACGCAUGCGCGAAGCAUGUCCUCAAGAGUCUGGAUGACUCGCUCUGACUGACCGUCACUCUGAGGAUGGAAAGCCGUACUGAAGUUCAGCUUCGUACCCAUAGCCUGCUGCAAGCUCCUCCAGAAGUGGGAAACGAAGCGAGUGUCCCGAUCAGACACAAUCGACAUUGGCACGCCAUGAAGUCGGACGAUCUCAUCGAUAUAUAACUGCGCCAGUCGAUCACGGGACCACGCCGUAUGCAUCGGCAGGAAAUGGGCCGAUUUCGUAAGCCGAUCCACUAUAACCCAGAUCGCAUCAUGACCUCGCUGUGAUCGAGGUAAUCCGGUGACGAAAUCCAUAGUGAUAUGCUCCCACUUCCACACAAGAAUCGAAAGUGGUUGCAGCUUUCCUGCCGGUCGCUGGUGCUNGUGGUUGUAAACUGGCUCUGAUACCACUUUAAUCUAACGACCCAGCCCACUAGCAACAAUAACUCGUUGGGCCCAACCACUGGCCCAAAAUGCUUAAGCCCAGUUAUUAUUACUAGUGUCUAAGUCUCUUAUAAACCCAAUGACAACCCCAUUCCCAUCCGAUGUGGGAUUAUUGGGGUGUCACAUGUUGGCAUAAGAAAACUCGCUAUCUAGAAAUUCAAUCUAUUAUCUUAUUCCAGUCAAAAUUCAAAAAUUUUAUUUGACUGCAAUUAGACCUGGCAAACGGGCGGGUUGGGUAAUCCGCGGGUGGGUUAUUGUACCCGCGGGUUACUUGGGCAUGAAUAAAAUUUACCCGCAAAUUUUUCGGUAGUCAAUAUCUUUACCUAUAUUCGUCCGGGUGGGUAUGCGGGUUACCUGCAAAUUUUUUUUUUUUUAAAUGCAAAACACAUAUAUAUAAGUUUUAAAACCGUAAUAUAACUCAUUGUUUAAAAUACCAUAACAUAUAAUAAAAAUAUUUAAAGUCUUAAAGCAAAAAUAUUUCAUAAUAUAAAAAACAUGCAAUAAGAAAUUAGAAUUAGAAAUUUUAGAAUGAGUAAAGAAAAAAUUUAUAUUAAUUAAGAAAAUAUAUUUUAUAACUAAAAAAUAUAUGUGCGGGUACCCGUGGGUACCCACAGGUUACCCAAAAUGCCCACUGCUUAAUGGGUACCCACCUGUUUUACUCGUAAUUUUUUGGGUUGAAAAAGUUGGUACCCAUACCCGCAAAUUUGAUGCUGUGGGUUUAAAAUUCUUUAUUAUCUAUAGGAUGCUGUGGCUACUCCUGAGCAUAAUAAAAAAUACAAAUAACCUUAUUUGACAUUGAAUCACUAUUUAAAAAAUAAAUUGGCAUAUGAAUUUUCGGAUUAACUUUAAAUCAAUAUCAUCUUAUAAAAAUACCAUAAAUGAUUUUAUACUAUGACUAGGACUAGGAUGUUGUGGCUACUUCUAAACAUAAUUAAUCUCACAUUAAUCUUUAUAUGAUAUUAAAUGAUCGAAAAUUACACGUUAUUCCAAAAUGCAGCAAAAAAUUAUAAAAUUUCAAAGCAAUUUUCUCAACAACUUUAUGUGACUCAAGAUUUAUAAACUGUAUGAAGUUUAUAUAUUCAACUCCAAAUUAUUCAUGAUCACUUUACGUGUGUUUAGAAUAAUAAUGUAAAAAUUAUCCCGUAAAAAUUAAUCUAAAUGCACUAUUUUAAAAUUAUAAAUAAAAAAACGAGUAGAACAAAAAUCAUAUACAACUAAACUAGGCGUUAUAUAAUUUCAAUAUAGACUUCUUCAAAAACGAGUCACAGAAGAAAAUUAUAAACCCAAAAUCUAUAUAUAUAUAUAUAUAUAAUUUAUUUUCUUGUAUUAAAAUAAAUAAAUAAAUAAUCCCUUUUUCUUUUGUGUGUUGGCCGCACCAAGGCUGCCUCAUAGGGCCCUAACGGGUCGUACGGCAGCCAUUAUUUAUUAUUAUAUUUUUAAUUGCCACCUAAGCAGCCUCCGUUGGUACGGCCGUAAUGGGGCGCUUUAUGCCCUUUUUUUUAUUUUUUUAUUUCUUGCUCGCUCAAUACAGCCGAGCCGGUGAUGCCGUUCUUCCGAACGCCGAUCUCGAUUGAGGCUGGCCGAUGUUACCGUUAACGAAAACCAUCAAUAAAUUUAUUCAUUUAUAAGAAAUUAUGAUCGUAUUUUUUGUCAUGAUUUCAAUAUCUAUAGCCGAUUUGUAGGCGGCGAUUUUUGCUCGUGGUUCGUCCUCGUUGGCCGGGACGUUUCGAGUCUAAUUUUUUUAUCUCCGGAGAUUGAGCCAUCACAGACAAUUGAAUUAGAGUUAGACCGAGACUCCCGUAUGUUAUAUAUUUAUAUAUAACUUAAUGUAAGGAUAUUAAAUCACGUCCGUCCAUCAAAAACGUGUACGAUACAUCCUAAUCAUAAGAUCUACCAUAUAUCUUUAUAAAUCGAUUUAGAUAUUUAUGAAUCGAAUUGAAUAUAUCACGUGGGCCAAAUCCAACAUGAAAUGCUCACACACACACUCUCUCUCUCUCUCUCUCUCUCAUCCCCUUACACUAUAAAUAGAGAGACCAUUCUUCACCUUCCUCUCAAGCCUCAAGUAUCCAAAGCCCCAACUCCACACCACCUCCGGCCGCGCCGUGUGUGCUUUUGUGAGGUUGGCAAGCCUCCUCGCGGUCCGUUCUCGGCGCUCGGAGGAGGCGAAGAGUGUUAGGGUUUUGUAGAGAGAGAGAAAGAGAGAGAGGGGUUUCUAGAGAGAUAUAGAGAGAUGGCUCAUUUGCCUUUAAACCACCCUUUGGUCCUCAUCUUUGGCAUCCUAGGUAAAUAUAUGUACACACACACACACACACACACACACACACACACACACACACAUAUAUAUCAAAAUAAUUAACACCCCUUAUUUUCCAUAUAGUUCAAUAAGCUAAGGCUUAUUUUUCUUUUUUACUUGGUUUUCUUUUUUAUUAAUUGUUUCUUCCAAGGAAGAGGGAGUAGUUAAUUACUAGCAAUUAUAAUAAUGUACUGUUGUGUUCUUGUUCUUUCCUUUUAUUUUUUUNNNNNNNNNNNNNNNNNNNNNNNNNNNNNNNNNNNNNNNNNNNNNNNNNNNNNNNNNNNNNNNNNNNNNNNNNNNNNNNNNNNNNNNNNNNNNNNNNNNNNNNNNNNNNNNNNNNNNNNNNNNNNNNNNNNNNNNNNNNNNNNNNNNNNNNNNNNNNNNNNNNNNNNNNNNNNNNNNNNNNNNNNNNNNNNNNNNNNNNNNNNNNNNNNNNNNNNNNNNNNNNNNNNNNNNNNNNNNNNNNNNNNNNNNNNNNNNNNNNNNNNNNNNNNNNNNNNNNNNNNNNNNNNNNNNNNNNNNNNNNNNNNNNNNNNNNNNNNNNNNNNNNNNNNNNNNNNNNNNNNNNNNNNNNNNNNNNNNNNNNNNNNNNNNNNNNNNNNNNNNNNNNNNNNNNNNNNNNNNNNNNNNNNNNNNNNNNNNNNNNNNNNNNNNNNNNNNNNNNNNNNNNNNNNNNNNNNNNNNNNNNNNNNNNNNNNNNNNNNNNNNNNNNNNNNNNNNNNNNNNNNNNNNNNNNNNNNNNNNNNNNNNNNNNNNNNNNNNNNNNNNNNNNNNNNNNNNNNNNNNNNNNNNNNNNNNNNNNNNNNNNNNNNNNNNNNNNNNNNNNNNNNNNNNNNNNNNNNNNNNNNNNNNNNNNNNNNNNNNNNNNNNNNNNNNNNNNNNNNNNNNNNNNNNNNNNNNNNNNNNNNNNNNNNNNNNNNNNNNNNNNNNNNNNNNNNNNNNNNNNNNNNNNNNNNNNNNNNNNNNNNNNNNNNNNNNNNNNNNNNNNNNNNNNNNNNNNNNNNNNNNNNNNNNNNNNNNNNNNNNNNNNNNNNNNNNNNNNNNNNNNNNNNNNNNNNNNNNNNNNNNNNNNNNNNNNNNNNNNNNNNNNNNNNNNNNNNNNNNNNNNNNNNNNNNNNNNNNNNNNNNNNNNNNNNNNNNNNNNNNNNNNNNNNNNNNNNNNNNNNNNNNNNNNNNNNNNNNNNNNNNNNNNNNNNNNNNNNNNNNNNNNNNNNNNNNNNNNNNNNNNNNNNNNNNNNNNNNNNNNNNNNNNNNNNNNNNNNNNNNNNNNNNNNNNNNNNNNNNNNNNNNNNNNNNNNNNNNNNNNNNNNNNNNNNNNNNNNNNNNNNNNNNNNNNNNNNNNNNNNNNNNNNNNNNNNNNNNNNNNNNNNNNNNNNNNNNNNNNNNNNNNNNNNNNNNNNNNNNNNNNNNNNNNNNNNNNNNNNNNNNNNNNNNNNNNNNNNNNNNNNNNNNNNNNNNNNNNNNNNNNNNNNNNNNNNNNNNNNNNNNNNNNNNNNNNNNNNNNNNNNNNNNNNNNNNNNNNNNNNNNNNNNNNNNNNNNNNNNNNNNNNNNNNNNNNNNNNNNNNNNNNNNNNNNNNNNNNNNNNNNNNNNNNNNNNNNNNNNNNNNNNNNNNNNNNNNNNNNNNNNNNNNNNNNNNNNNNNNNNNNNNNNNNNNNNNNNNNNNNNNNNNNNNNNNNNNNNNNNNNNNNNNNNNNNNNNNNNNNNNNNNNNNNNNNNNNNNNNNNNNNNNNNNNNNNNNNNNNNNNNNNNNNNNNNNNNNNNNNNNNNNNNNNNNNNNNNNNNNNNNNNNNNNNNNNNNNNNNNNNNNNNNNNNNNNNNNNNNNNNNNNNNNNNNNNNNNGAGAGAGAGAGAGAGAGAGAGAGAGAGAGAGAGAGAGAGAGAGAGAGAGAGAGAGAGGCUUCAUUGUGAGUCUAUUAGUUAGGUCUAACAUAUCCUUCCAAUUUCUACAUAUAUGAGAGAGAGAGAGAGCGCUUUGUUUAUAUAUUUAUAUUUAUAUAUAUAAUAUAUAUGAUGUUACAUUUGUAUUUGUAUUAAUGUUUUAAUGUGUUUUGGUUUGGUAUGCAUGGAGUAAUAAAUAUGGGUCAAGAGCUACACAUUAAUAAGGAGACUUAAAAUACUUAAUAGAUAGGCUACAUUCUCUCUCUCUCUCUCUCUCUCUCUCUCUUAAACUCUCAAGUUUAAAUGAGGCAACAAAAAAAAUGCUCCAACAAAAUAAAAAGUAAAUGCUUUAGCUACCUUAAUUAGUUAGUAGUUGCUCUCUCUUAUUAAAUUAUCAUAGUGAGCCUCAAUCUAACCCUACAUAGUACAAUAACUAAUUUAUUAGACUUUAAUCUUAAAUAGUACACAGCAACAAAGAGAUUCAUUGAAUCUGAGCACUAGUUACUAGUUACUACUUUAUUUUGACUAGAUCCAAUAAAUUUUAUCUAUGAACGAAAACAAAUUUAACUUAAAUUCAAGAUUAAUAAAUGGUUUAUAUCAAACUUUUUUCUUUUUGUGCAUGACAUGACACACAUCAAUGAUGUGCGUGCAUGACACUUGGCGAAUGCUUGGGGAUGCAUGAGAUUUUGAAUUUGUACGUAUUCUCUUCAUCGAUUGAUCAGGUCUAGUAAACACACAGAUGACAAUUCGAUGCAAUCGACAUGAAUGAAUCAACUGAACCUAAUUAAGCUGCGAGGGAGUUGCAUUUGAAGUUGUGAACUUAGCUUCGAUACGAUGUUAAAGGGCUCUGACUCAACCAAAUAGCUUCGAUACUGAGACCGACAUUUUAAGUAGUAUCCAAUAUGCGACUAAUAUUCUUUAACAACAUAGGUCGAGUAAAAUCGAUGUGGGCUCGACGGGCUCAAGCCAGCGGUUUCGACUAAACUUGGGCUCAGAUCAACCCGAAACUGAAUUGAUUUGGCCCAGCCCACUAAAACCACUACUAUUUUUUAUUUAUUAUUAUUAUUAUUUUUUUUUAACCACUACCACCUUCUAUAGUUCUAUGGGUACAUGUUCAGUUACUUACUAUUAAAAAAAAAUAAAGAAAGAAAAAAGUAAUAAAGCAUAAAUUAUAUGGUAAAUUUAUUUGGUUCAAUAUCCUACUAUGUGAGUAGAAACCAAUUUAACUUGAAUUUCUACAUGGUUCUAUUUGUCGAAUUUAAAAUAUUAAAAUUUAUUUUCUAGAGCUUCAAUUUCACGAUAAAAUUCUCUCUCUCUCUCUCUAUGAAGAUAAGGGGUUUGAUUUUAAAGUUGGUUUUACACUUGUACAAGAAACCAUUUGCUUGAUAAACAAAUUAAUGUUCCCAAUUUUCCCCAUCUUAGUAUACCUAAUUGUUGACAUGUUCAACAAAUUUUUUUUUUUUUCUACUACUUAUGUGAUUUUCCAACCACCAUUUGAAAAUAGAAACUAAGAGUUGGAUUAAAAUUGAUAAGCAUGAGAGAACUUGGUUUAAAUCUCCCAUGUUUUUCUUUUUAAUCUAUUAAUUUUUUUACAACCCCUUUACGAGGCUAUUUAAUUGUUCAAUUUUGUGCAAUAAAGAUUUCAAUUUAAGUCUUAGUUAAGUCCAUGUCUCUUUGGAGCUAACAUUUUGAUAAUGAUGGAUUAUUCAGCCGCGCUUUAUGUAUGUAAAAAUACUUUUUGAAUAAAACUAUUUAUAAAUAUACAGAUAAAUUUAUUAUUGAAUCAUCUAAUUUCAACGUAGCCCAACAUAACAAAUAAAAUUUUCGACUAAUUCACGUUUGGCACUCUUAAAUAAACAUUUUGUUUAAAAAAAACACUUAAUUGCAUAAAACACCAAGUGUUUUAUUCAGUUGUAAAUCAAAUUUAUGAUCUUGGCUAAGCAAAGAAGAUUCAUCUGCAAAUGGUAAGCUCAAUAUCUUUGAAAACAAUUUCACCUCAAACUGAAUUGAAGUCGUCUUUCACGAAAAGAUCCAAAAUACAGCCUAUGCAAAGGACGUGACAAUAGAAAAGACACACUGAUCACACUUACGAGCUCAACUACAGUGUUCACGAACUUCGAUCUGACUCAACCCCCCUAAACGUUAAGUUUAUUGUCGAAUCUCUUAUCAUUAAGUUUACUAUAAAUUGCAACCUCACUCAACUGAUUGAACUCACCCUAUUCAACUUAUUAGUCUUUUGGAUCUCUUAUCGUCAGGUUUGUUGUUGCAUUUUUUUUUAUUAUUGGAUGCAAGGAUUUAAGUGUUGUGGUACGGGAUUGUGUCGAAAAUUUGCUGGCACGAUGCGUGUCAGGCCGUGCCGAUGAGUGCCGGCUACAAAAUAUACAUGCGUGUCAACACAUAAUGACAUGAAAUAUUUAUUUUCUUUAACAACAAAAUAUUCUAAUGAUUUAUUAUAUAUUUUUAGCAGAUUUUUUGAACUUUAAUGAGAAAAUUACUUACUAAUUAAAGAAUAAAUAAUUUUGAGCUAUGCUAUCGGUAUGGGAAUUAUAUUGUGCUGACAUUUUGUUGACACGAUAUGACACGGUGAAUACGGUCCAUGUUGAUGUGCAUUUAAGUUCUUGAUUGGAUUUACAGAGUUUACUAUUUGGUGGUAGUACAAUGAUGAAUUUUUUGGAUAUAAAAUUGAUAGUAAAUACAAUACAUCUAUUGUCAAUAGUAUUUAAUUUGCCUACCUCUACAAGUAUUAUGUGUUUUUGAAUGCGCUCCCAAAUUUCAAAUUUUUCAAAAUUUUGGUUUGAAUCUGUAAACCAUGAACAUAUUAAUACAUAUAACUUUUUCUGACGGAAUCUGAUAAAGGUUGAUGGAAUGUUCUAUAACUUUUUUGACAGAAAAUGCUGAAUAACAAUUCUAAUAGUCUUUGUUUUCAAAUAUAUAUAAAAAAUAUAACAUUUUAAUUCAACUGUUCGAUCUUUCAAAUUUCAAAAUUUUGAUUUUAGUGCUCAAUCUUUCAAUUUGUUUGGUUUUAAUAAUUUAAGGAAAAACUUCAAAUACUACCUAUAUAGUUUCGCGCUUUUCCACUUUAGUACCCUGUGAUUUAAAAUGUAUCACCUUCACAUCACGUGGUUUUAUUUUUUCUUUUCGUUAUCUCGUCUGUUAAUUUUUUUUCAUUAAAUCAGCGACAAAGUUAAAACCACAGGAUACUAAAGCGAAUAUUCGAUAAAUCAUUGGUGGGGUAUCUGAAGUUUUUUGUACAUGAUUUAACGAAGAGUAAACGGAGACGCUGACGAAAAGACAAAAAAAAAAUCACAGGAUACUGAAGUGAUACAGUUUAAACUACAUGAUACUAAAGUGAGAAAGCAUGAAACUACAAGAGUGAUAUUUAAAGUUUACCCAUAAUUUAAUAAUUCUUCGGAUACAAAAUUUAAGCUAAUUAUUUAUUAUAAUAAAUUUAUACUUAUGUGAAUUAUCUUAAAUAUACUAACUAUCCUGUAAAGAUAAAUGGUCCGUUCAAAUUUUGAAAUUAAAAGAUCACUAACUAGCUCAGAUCAAAUAACUUAAAAGGUCAAGUAGUAAAAUUAAAAUUUUUUUAAGCUCCGAUAGUUAUAAUGGAAUAGGUGAUAGUUGAGGUAAAUUUGAAAUAUGGUAAAUAAGAGGCUAAAUUACAGAAAAUUGAACAAAAAUAAGAAACGCGGUGAAUCGUUCACCGUUUUUAGAAAGCGGUAAAUUUUAAAUUUAAAAUUUUCUUUUAUAUUGUUACAUUAUAUGUAGAUUAUUGGAGUUUUUAUUUCAGUCUUAGAAUUAUAUGAAUAGAUCGUUAAGAUUGUAUGUGAUUUAUUAAAAUUUUAAAAAAUUUAUAUAAAAAUUAGAAAGAAAUAGUUUGAUGAUUCAAACCGUCUUUUAAAUUUUAUUAAUUAAAGAUGAUGAAUGAUUCAUCAUUUUUUUAAUUGUUGUUUCAGCCUGAUGCUGAGUUAACGAAUUAGGUUAUUUAGCCGGUUAAAUUACAGAUAACUCGCUUAUAGAAUAUCUGCUUUUUUACUUUCUCUUCCUAACUUUCGAAAAUCUAUAUUUUACUCCCUCAACAUUUCAAGUUAUUACAUUUAGCCUUACUCCAUCAUGGUUCCGUCACUAUUCCGUUCUGUUUCUUAUAAUUUAUACCGAAAAUAUCCUUUAAAAUAACAGAAAUAUAUUAAAAGUUUAUUUUUUUUUUAAGAAGAAGUAAGGGCAAUUUAGUUCUUUUGCCCUCUCCGUUAAUGCCAUAUCUUUGAAAAUAUUUUUGAAAUUUUAAGGAGGGGGCAAAAUGUAGGUUUUUAAAAAUUAGGGAGGCAAGUGAAAAAGUCGGUAUUUAUGGGGGGGUUUCUGCAAAUAAACUUAUUUGUGGCGUUUGAGAGGGUUAUUUGGCAUAUUAUAAAUUUUUCGAGUGUUUAUGUGAAAAAGCGCUUCUAAUAAUCGCAAUGAGAAAGCCCUAGUUAGGGUUCCUCGUCCCCGCCCCCGCCCCCUCUUCGUCGUCGCCUUCGCCCUUGCCGUAAGAGUUUAACCUAGCUCGACGAUCCAAUCCAUGGGGCGGAACGAGGGAGCAGCGAGGGAGGCGGAGGCCGCGGCCAUGGGCGGCGGCGGCGGAGGCCACCGAUUCUUGGAUCGGAGCAAGGUGAGGAUUCUGCUGUGCGACCCCAAAAGCUCCCAAGAGGUGCUCCACCUCCUCUCCAAGUGCUCCCACCAAGGUGAUUUCAAUUUCAAUGAAAUUAGGGUUCAUCUCGCCUUCCUUUCACUCCCUUAGCACUUUUAUUUUCGGUAAAAAUAUAGAGAACUUGAUAUCGUUCCACUGUAUCGAAAGAGCGAAUCGAUCCUUCGAGGGGAUCGUGCCUCCGGAUAAUAAAGACGUAGAGAGAAGAGGACGAGAUAUGAGGGAAAAGGAGACAAUUUUGCUUGCCUAUAAGCCUAUUUCUAAAUAAAAAGCUAUUUGAAUUACAUUUGAAUUUGUUUAUUAAAAGAAAACUACCUGGGGUCGCAUAAGAACUUAUCAGUAGUAUGGACCAUUUGGAUUUGGUUACCUAACUUUUCAAAAUUUUGAUUUUACUAUCUAACCUUUCAAUUUGCUUGAUUUGAGGCAGUAAACUGCACUUUGAAGUCAAAGUUUGAUAUACAGAUUUAGUUAGUAUACUUCAUGUAAUUCUCACAACGAUAAAUUCAUUAAAAUAAGCAAUUAGCUUAAAUUUUGGAGUCAAAGUGCCGCUAACUUGAAAGAUUGAUUAGUUUAAAUCAAAAUUUUGAAAGGUUGGGUCGCCAACUCAAAAUAAUCUAGAGUUCAAGUAAGUUUUGUUUGUUUUUACCUUUCAAGAAUCACCUUUGCACCUUUUCUCCUGCCUCAACAAUCUGUUUUAAGUUUUCAAGUGCUUCAAUUUUAAAUUUGUCUUAGUAAUCCUAUCUCAGUAGCUUCAAGAAUCAGGAAAACUCUGACAAAUGUCUUCGCAGGUGAUGCUUUCUAUACUUAAUAGAAAGAAUCACUUGCAUUGAAUAAAUUGUCUGUGUCUCAAUUGCUACCAUACAUAAAGAAUUGCUUCAUCCUUAAGUCUGCACUUCACCUUUGGCUCAAUUAGGCCCAAAAUUUGGUGUGAUUGUCAAAUUCGGUUCUAAAACUUUGGCGCCAUUGCUCGUCAUGUCAUAUUAGUUAUAUAUCUAAAUAUCUAUCCAAAGUUGCUAGUGCAACAACUUAUAUGAUAGCAUUGUCCUUUGCCAACUCGCUUUAAUGAAGUUUUGCGUCCAAAUUCAAACAAAUAUUCCAAAAUUUUGGGCCUAUUUGAAACAGUAUAAAUUUCUGGUGGAAAUUGGAGCAAUUAUUUAUUCAGGAUAGCAGUUGAGACUGGGACUGAAGUGCAAGGGGCUCUGUUGUAGUUUAGCCUAAUUUGUCCAUUGAAUUGCCGAUUUCGGUAAAUCUAGUAAGUUUGGAGAGUUCUUCUUUUGAGAUCAAAUUAUAUUGUUCAGACUGUAACUUAGAUGUUCAAAUAUGAAACAACGCUGUAUGACACCUCGUUGUUAAUAAGUCUUUCCAUCCGAAUUUACAAGUUGUCCCAAAUAUAUUAGCCUAUAUUUGAGACGAAUAAAAUGUAAGAUUCAAAUUGAAGCUAUUGAAGAUGUUGAAGAGAAUUGUCAGGGAAUCAUCGUUCAGAUGAGAAUUGUCAGGCAAUCAUCGUUAUAAUUGUUCUAGCGUAAAGGCAAGCAACAAGUAAACUGAUUAUGAUCUGUGCAUCUGUUGAUGAUUUCAGUAACUUCAGUGAGGUCUGCAAGACAGUUGAUUGACGUGCUUAGGGCUCAGGCAGCAGACAUUGAUAUCAUUCUCGCAGAAGUUGAUCUCCCCAUAGCCAAAGGUUUCAAGAUGCUCAAGUACAUCACUAGAGACAAGGACUUGAGGCGCAUUCCCAUCAUCAGUAUGUUUUUUUUUUUUUUUCCUACUGCUUUUCCACGCUUGUGAUGUACAUUUCACGUAGCUGAUUCUUAUCGCCAUUUUUGUUUAAAUAAAUCAGUGAUGUCUUCUCAAGAUGAGGUUUCGGUUGUUGUCAAGUGCCUGCGACUUGGACCAGCUGACUAUCUCGUGAAGCCAUUGCGUACCAACGAGCUGUUGAACCUUUGGACCCACAUGUGGCGAAGAAGACGGACGGUACUCAACUGCUUGGAUUUGCUCCUACAUCCUGAGUUACGCUUCUUACUUGUGUGAUGCAACUUGAAUGGUUGUAAUCAGCCAUUUUUGCUGUCUUAUUUUGCAGCUUGGUCUGUCCGAGAAAGAAGUCUUCAACCAUGAUUUUGAGUUGGCACUGUCAGACCCAAGUGAUGCCAAUGCAAACAGCACAACUCUAUUAUCAGAUGACACGGAUGAUAAGCUGAAGGGAAACUCAAAUCAGGAAACAGGCACCUCAAAUCAUCGUGAAUAUGAGGCAAGCCUUGGUUUUCCAUGAAAUCAUUUGCCUUUCAGUCUAGUACAUAAAUCAGACUCUAGUGACACAUUUGACUAAGGAUUGAAAGCCACUUCAGAUUCUUUUUGUGAUUGCUCCGCUGGUUCUAGAUUUUUCUAUGCAUCUUGCCUAUAACUCGGUUGCUUUAUCAUAUUUUAUCAGGUAGGGUUGUGCUAGGAUGCUAGUGUGAACUAAUAUGGAUUUCUGAAAAUGAGACUGUCUGUUCAUAAUGUUUCAUAUUGUAUCUUUCCAGUCUAAUACCUUUGGUGUUGAACCCGGGUGUGUUAGCAGAACGCAACAGACGGCAGAUGCUGCAGUGGGUGGUGAUUGGGCAUGUAAGCGACUCAACUCUUCUUGCAGCUUCUGCUGCUUAGCUUAGUUUUUUUUUUUCCGCUUUAUCGAUGCCUGCUGUGCAGGUAUCUUCUUCCCCAGUCUUCCUCAGGAAAUGAAUAUUUUUACCAGCAUUCUCAGGGGGAGUCUUUUCAUUCCCAAAGAAGACCAAUCUGAGGGUUGGCGAGCCUUCUGCAUUUCUGGCUUACGUCAAGUCAACCCCACAAGCCAAAAAUUCCAACUGUACCCAACUGGAUGGAAAUGCAGGCCCUUCAGAACCCACGAAAUGUCAGGACAAUUUACACGCAGGAAGUGAAAACGAGAGAAUUAAAAGCAGAGGGACACAUGAAAGAUGUUCCGAGGAAAAUGAAGCAUUUCAGAUGCCGACAGAGUUUACUCCGGUUUGCUUCUCUUCUUCUAGCACACAGCCAGAAUCGAGUAGUGAAGGCCAAAACAAUGUCUCUGGCGCUCCGUCGGUCUUCCACUUCCCAUUUUAUUAUCCUGGAAUGAUGCCCUCGUCAGUGCACAUGUUUCAAGGAUGCUUAAACAAUGUGCAAGCACACAGCUCACCAGUGCUGUUGCUGCAGUAUAAUGCUCUUCCUCAUUUGCCAGUAAUGCCAUCAAUUCCUUAUAAUCAUGUUGGCGUGAAUUUGCAAUCGGGCCACAUGCCUGCCACAAAUGUUUGGCCGUCAGUGACGAGCACGUCAGUGCCUGAAGCCAAGUCUGGUCGAACUGAAAGAAGAGCAGCAGCGCUUGUGAAAUUCAGGCAGAAAAGGAAGGAACGUUGCUUCGACAAGAAGAUUAGAUACGUAAAUAGGAAGCAUCUUGCUGAAACAAGGCCCAGAGUGCGGGGUCAAUUUGUGAGGCAUGCGAACAAUGUAGAUAUACAGCUUGGUGGACUUAAUGCCGGUGAUGAUAAUGCCGAGGAGGAUGAAGAUGAGGAGCCAACAUCAAGAGAACUCGAGCUUGUUUCUUCUCCUGAAUAUAACACGAGGAACUGAUGAAUGGAACCUUCCGAAACGUACUCAAGUGCCUCUUUUGCUUUAUGAUGGUUAGUGGAUCUGCAUUUUCUCCGGAGCUCCAGAUAUUUGCAUGUUAUCCAUUGGUCGAGUUAUUGGAGAGAACGCCAUCGAUAAAGUUGGGAAAGGAAAUACCAUAGUGAAAGAGGCAUUUAGGUGGUAUUGUUCAUCGACUUCUUUGCACAAAAAAUUUAUAAUGCAUGCAUCUAUUGUUGAAAUCUUGCAUUGAGCUCCCUCUCCCCCUCUUUUUUAUACUUGAUCUUCCAUAUAUCUGUAUGGAGUUUCAAUUGACGACAAUAUACAAAGAAGGAAAUCGUCACAUCUGUUUCAAUUUAAAACAUGGAUACACCAGACUAUUCAUGUCGUGCUUCACUGCUUUGAAAGUAGAAACAAAGCUGCAUAUGUUCUGCACCAAGGAUUAAAAGAAAACCUAGGUUUCCAUCUAUUUUCCGGCGAGGUAGAUACUAGCCCUCUGGAAGGAGAAAAGAACUGAAACAAGGAUGCUAUGAUCAAAAUUCUUGCACAAUGUAGAUCUUCCCUAAAAUGAUUGAAUCGUCAGAAAGCUCUUCUAGAUGCUCCAAGGCAAAAUGGUCAAUGAUCUUUUUUUUGUGAAUCUUUUCUGAUAUUUACUGCUGGCUACAAUGGUAAUGAAAAGUCUUAAUUGCGCGAUUUGCAACUUGCAGUAUUUGAUUAUCAUCUCAUAGUUUCUUUGAAAGUUCGUCAUUGAUGGUGUGCAUCUAUCCUAUGAAAUUGAUUACAGUAUCCUUUUUGAGUUUUGACUCCAUCAUUCAAUAAGUCACAAUGUCUUGCAAAAAAUGCUAUUUGUUUGUUUAAAGCAUUAUGUCAUGUUUUCUUGCAGCUCUUUCUUGAUGUUGAAGCCAUGUGUUGUUUGACUUUUUUUUUUUUUUUCCAUUUCCGGUGAUCAUUAUGCAAUCUAUCCAAUGAUGAAUCUCAUGAUUCUAAAAAAAGUUCUGGUUGAGCUACUGGAAUUAUCUAAUGAAUACACAUUUUUACCUACCGGAGAUAUAAAAAAUAUAUGCAAACUGAGAAACUUGCUAUAUUGGACUCCAACUGCGUGAUCUUAAGGGCCGAUAGAUAAAGCGAUAAGCACUCUUAAACAGUAAUAUUAUCAAUAGAUGAUAAUUUCCAUCAAUGUCAGCUACACUGUAUUAAGCUUUCAAUUCUACGAAAACUAACCGAAAAAGGGAUUGUAUUGCACCUGCAACCUUUUUUUAUCUUCAGCAGGUGCCAAGUGUGUGCGGAUGCCGAGAAAGAUCCUAUUAUGAAACAAGAACUGGCUGGGCUUGCCAGAAUAGUUUAGAAGGUAUAGUUUUCUUCUUCACUCUUCUUGGUUCUUAUAUCUUCUUUCAUUUCUUAAUGACUUCUUUAUUUUCGCCCUGACAUGCUUUGUUUCUUUCCAUUUGUUUGUCUGUCCAAAUCGUAGUAGCCUUUGUAAUGGAACGGAACUCUCGCUUUGCGCCUCGCAGAUUGAUGAUGAAAUAGAAAAGCAUAUGGAUCUUCACAAGGAGGUUCAAGAAAGCGACAUUAACACUAUUGUUGCGAGAAGGCGGAAGGACUUCACAGAGGAAUUCUUUCGUCAUCUUUCUAUAUUUUCAGAUACACUUUACAGCAAUCUGGACGAGCGAGAUGGUACUCCUCUACCUGUUUGAACACUCUUACUGGUGCUUAUACUGCACUAUUGUUCUCAGAUCUGAGACUUAAUUUGCAUAUACUUUUUUGUUUCACUUUUAUCUAUGCGAGACCUUCUAGAUGGUUACUAUUCUUAGAGUAAAUGUCCGGUAAUUAUUGAUUCAUUGCACUUCGUAUGACUAAAACUUAAUCUGCAUACUUGUCCCAAUAUAUAUAUAUAUAUAUAUAUAUAUAUAUAUAUAUAUAUAUAUAUAUAUAUUUUCGGUUUAAAACAGUGAUUGUGAGAUAGAAGACUGAUAGCAUUUAUUCAUAUUUGUAUCUUGUGCUCCUUCUGUUGGUAUCUUGUGCACAAAUGGAUCAAGAUCAUGCUCGACGCCUACUGUUGCGGCAGAUGAGCAAUCCCGCAAUCCCAUUGUUAUACAAAGGCAAUCCCAUUGUUAUAAAAAGGCUAAAUAUCCUCGAGGAAACAAUCGAAGAGGAGUAUAUGAAGAUCAGCAGACAAGACGAAGACUUGGAACUGAAAGACAAAAACUGAUUUCCAACAGUUUGUCGAAUCACUGUAAAACUACACCCCAAUCUCAUCAUCAGAGUCAGGAGAGAAUGGUUUGGUUGUUAAACAAGGUGCUGAGAUGUUAGUAAGAUAUCGGGAUGUAAGAGAUGUCGAUGAUUGAUGAAAUUUUAUCCGAUAAAUGCGUAGAUGUCCUCGCGUAUUUGUUCUAUGCCCUAAACAUCCACUUCUGAUUGUGUUCCUUGAUGCUACAUUGUGGGAUUAUUGGGCAAGUCUCACAUUGUCUGAUGAUUUUGGGCUGUAUGUGUGUUUAGGGUUAACGAGAACGUCAGGGUCUAAAAGUGGAAAUUUGUAACACCCCAAUAGUACCACAUUGGACGGGAAUAGAAUUGUCGUUGGGUAUAUAAAGGACUUCAUCAAAAUAAUAAUAACUGGACUUAAGUAUUUUUGACUGGUGGUUUGAACUCAAUGAUUUUUUAUUGUUAGUGAGUUGGGUCGUUACAUACAUACAGGCGGCCGUAGUGCGCGCCGAUCUCAUUAUCAGAAUCAAGAGAAACAGAUGCUUUGGCUCUUAAUAAGAUGGUAAAGUUGAUUUUAUUGAUGAAUUGUAUCUUGAGAUCUUGUGAUGAAAAAGUUGAUCUCCCUUUCACUGCAUUUAAUGUAAUUUGGUGGAGAAAAAGCAUAUGCAUGCCUCUAUAAAAGUAUGCUAUGUAUUUUUGUAUGUGUUAUCCAAAUUUCAAAUUUUCAAUUUUUUUGUAUUAUAUAUAUAUAUAUAUAUAUAUAUAUAGAGAGAGAGAGAGAGAGAGUGAGGCUACUAUGUUAUCGGAAGCACGGAGCCUUCUAUGCUUCCAGCUCGUUUUCGAUGUUGCGACUUUUUCGUUAAACUUGAUCUAGAUUAUUUGGAGUACCUAGAAAAUAAAUUUUAUUAUUUUUCGAUAUCAUUUGCCUAGUGAUCGAAUGGGCUCAAAAUCAACAAAUUUCAAUGGCCGUAGUGAGCCGUUUGCAAGUUUAACGGCGUAGAAAUAUUCAAAUCACGUGAAAUUUUGAUAGAAAAUUUUUUAUACUAUAUAAAAUAAGAUCAAUAUUUUUGAUUUAAAAUUUUAAUGUCCUAUUAUUAUAUUUUGUAAGAUUUUUAUUUUCAGCCGUUGAUUUUGAGCCCUUUCGUUCACUAGGCAAAUGAUAUCGUAAAAUCAUAAAAUUUAUUUUCUAGGUAUUUCAAAUACUCUAGAUCAAGUUUAACGGAGCCGAUCGACGAUUUGAAAGUCGCAACAUCGAAAACGAACUGGAAGCACGGAAGGCUCCGUGCUUCCGAUAGCAUAGUAGCCUCACUCUAUAUAUAUAUAUAUAUAUAGUACGUCUCCCGUGUUUUCGAACGUACGGAGGUCUUCGUACUUGUAAGUUGUUUUCGAUGAUAGGACAUCCGAUUCGACGAUCGGCUCUGUUAGGCAUAAUCUAUGCUAUUGGAACUAUCUAGAAACCAAAUUUUAUAAUUUUUCGACUUCAUUUACCAAGCGAUCAAAGGGUCUCAAAAAUGAUUAUUUUAACGGCUGAUGUGGCACGUUUUUAAGUUCAAUGGUGUAGAAGUAUCCAAAUUAUAUGAAACUUUAAUAGAAAAUUCUUCUUAACAUCAAGAGUAAGAACAAUACUUCUGAUUUGAAAUUUGAGUUCUUUAUCACUGUUUUUUAUGAGAUUUUUAUUUUCAACUGUUUAUUUUGAGGCUACUCGUUCACUAGGCAAACGAAAUUAAAAUAUUAUGAAAUUUGGUUUCUAGAUAGUUCUAAUAGCGUAGAUCAUGUCUAACAGAACCGAUCGCCGAAUUAGACGUCCCAUCAUCGAAAAUAAAUUACAAGCACGAAGGUCUCCGUAUUUUCAAAAGCAUAGGAGCCUAGCUCUCUCUCUCUCUCUCUCUCUCUCUCUCUCUAUAUAUAUAUAUAUAGCAGGGCUGCUGUGCUCUAAGGAGCACGAAGGCGUUCGUGCUCCUGAGCCGUUUUCGAUGAUGGAAUUUUCGAAUCGACGAUUAGCUCCGUUAGACUUGAUCUAGCGCAUUUGAAGUUUCUAGAAAAUAAUUUUUGCGAUUUUUUGAUAUCAUUUACCUAAUGAUCGAAAGGAUUCAAAAUUCAUAAUUUUUAAUGGUUGAUAUCUGCCGUUUUCAAGUUUAACGGUGUAGAAGUAUUCAAAUUAGAUGAAAUUUUGAUACAAAAUUUUUUAUACUAUCUAUAAUAAAAUCAAUAUUUCUGAUCGAAAAUUUUAGUGCUAUAUCUCCACUUUUUAUAGGAUUUUUAUUUUUAGCCGUUAAAAAUUAUUGAUUUUGAAUCCUUUUGAUUGCUAGGUAAAUAAUAUUGAAAAAUCUAAAAAAUUAUUUUUUAGAAACUUCAAAUACGCUAGAUCAAGUUUAACGGAGCCAAUCGUUGAUUUGGAAACUCCAUCAUCGAAAACGGCUCAGAAGCACGGAGGCCUCCGUGCUCCUGAAGAGCACAGCAGCCCUGCUCUAUAUAUAUAGGUAGUAAACGAGCCGUUUUACUACCGAUUUGUUUUCGAUGAUAGAACCUCCAAAUUGACGAUCGGCUUCAUUGAACAUGAUGUAUACCACUUGAAGUGUUUAGAAAUCAAAUUUUAAAUCUUUUCAACAUCAUUUGCCUAAUGAUCAAAGGGUUUCAAAAUUUGUAAUUUUAAUGGUCGAUAAGAGGCGUUUUCUCGUUUAAUGGCGUAAAGAUAUUCAAAUCAAUUGAAUUUUUGUUAGAAAAUUUUUUAAACUAUUUAAAACAAGAUCUAUACUCUUGAUCUUGAUUACAAGACUCCUAUCAUCAUUUUUUAAAGAAUAUUCAUUUUCAGCCAUUUAUUUUGCUGUUCACUUAAUGGAUAAAAGAACAAUAUCGAAAGUGCAUAAAAUUUGAUUUCUAGGUAGUUUAAAUGGUUUAGAUCAUAUUUAACGGAGCCGAUCGUCAAUUUGGAAGCUCUAUCAUCGAAAACAAAUCGGUAGUAAAACGGCUCGUUUACUACCGAUAGUAUUCUAGCUCAACUCUCUAUAUAUAUAUAUAAAUUUUGAGUUCUUUGUAUUUAUAGUGAACUAUUACCUAAUGUUUUCUGAAUUUGUUUUCUUUUUAAGAUCACACUUUUUCCCAAACAUCUCAACCCUAUGCUCAUUUUAGUGACAUUUCUCUUUCACACAAUGCUUUAGAAAUUCUCUAGUGAGCCACAUCUACAUGAAUUGCUGCUUUCUCAAAAUCUUUUUAAAAGUCAAAACCUAUCAACUGUGUAUAAAUUGACACUUAUUGUCCUCUUAAUAGGGUUGAUAAAAAACGAAAAAAAAAAAAACAAAAACAAGAAAUGGUUUCAUUCAUUGAUUGAAACAUUUGCAAAAAAAAAAAGUCAGUGGUGGAUUCCUUUUCAUGUAAGGCUUGUUCACAAUCCUUCUCGUGCUAUACUAUGGAUUUAAGUUAUGUUAAGACUUAAUUACACUAUGCCACACAAUACUUUAUAAUUUUUUUGGCUAAAAUAUAAAAAAAAUUUCUAUAAAUACCUAGCGUUUCACUUUUCCUCAUUGACAUUCAAAAAUGUAUAUUUUGCCCUCUAAAAAAAUUUAGAAAUAUUUUCAGAAAGUUACAGCAAUAAUGAAGUGUUGGAGAAAAAUUCAAAAUCCUCUAUUUUAUUAUUUUAACUUAUUAAUCUUAAUUUAUUUUUAUUAUAUAUAUAUAUAUAUAUAUAUAGAGUUGAGCUAGAAUACUAUCGAUAGCAAACGGACUUCGUUGCCAUCCAUUUGUUUUCGAUGAUGGAGCCUCCAAAUCGACGAUCGGCACCGUUGAACAUGAUUUAUACCACUUGAAGUGUUUAGAAAUAAAAUUUCAUACAUUUUAGAUAUUGUUCUUUUAUCCAUCAAGUUGACACAAAAAUAGACGGCUGAAAAUGAAUAUUCUUUAAAAAAUGAUGAUAGUAGUCUUGUAAUCAAGAUCAAGAAUAUAGAUCUUAUUUUAAAUAGUUUAAAGAAUUUUCUAACAACAAUGCAAUUGAUUUGGAUAUCUUUACACCGUUAAACGAGAAAAUGCCUCAUAUCGACCAUUAAAAUUACAAAAUUUGAAACUCUUUGAUCAUUAGGUAAAUGAUGUCGAAAAGAUUUGAAAUUUGAUUUCUAAGCACUUCAAGUAGUAUAGAUCAUGUUCAACGGUGUCGAUCGUCGAUUUGGAGGCUCCAUCAUCGAAAAUAAAUGGAUGGCAACGGAGCCCGUUUGCUAUCAAUAGCAUUCUAGCUCAACUCUCUCUCUCUCUCUCUCUCUCUCUCUCUCUCUCUCUCUCUCUUCAUCUACGUUUCUCCUCUCUUAUAUAUAUAUAUAUAUUAUAUAUAUAUAUAUGAGCUAGGUUGGUAUACUAUCGGUAGCACGGAGACCUCUGUGCUACCAAGUUGUUUUCAAUGAUACGACUUCCAAAUCGACGAUCGGCUCCGGUAGACUUGAUCCACACUAUUGAAAAUAUUUGGAAACUAAAUUUCAUAAUUUUUCGGCAUCAUUUACCUAUCAAACGAGUAGUCUAAAAAUGAACGGUGAAAAUAAAAUCACACAAAAAAUGAUGAUAAAAGGCUUGAAUUUAACAUCAGAGAUACGAUCUUACUCUAAGUAGUGAAAAAAAAAAUUUUAUAAAAAAUUUCAUCAAAUUUGGAUUGUUUUACACCGUUAAAUUCACAAACGCAUCAAAUCUAUUAUUAAAAUUUUUAAUUUUGAGACCUUUUGAUCACUAGUCAAAUGAUGGCGAAAAAUUGUGAAAUUUAGUUUUCAAAUACUUUUAAUAGUGUAGAUAAUGUCUAACGAAGCGAUCGUCGAUUUGAAAGUCACAUCAUUGAAAUAAUUUGUAGCACGGAGGCUGAUAGUAUACCAUAUAUUAUAUAUAUAUAUAUAUAUAUAUAUUAUAUAUAAUUAUAUAUAUAAUAUAUAGAGUGAGGCUACUAUGCUAUCGGAAGCACGAGCCAUCCGUGCUUCCAGCUCGUUUUGAUGUUGCGACUUUUUGAAUCGUCGAUCGGCUCCGUUAAACCUGAUCUAGAGUAUUUGGAUACAUAGAAAAUAAAUUUUAUUAUUCGAUAUCAUUUGCCUAGUGAUCGAAUGAGCUCAAAAUCAACAAAUUUCAAUGGCCGUAGUGAGCCGUUUGCAAGUUUAACGGUGGUAGAAAUAUCCAAAUCACGUGAAAUUUUGAUAGAAAAUUCUUUAUACUAUAUAAAACAAGAUCAAUAUCUUUGAUUUAAAAUUUUAAUGUUAUAUGUUACAUUUUUGUAAGAUUUUUAUUUUCAGCCGUUGAUUUGAGCCCCUUCGUUCAUUAGGCAAAUCAUAUCGUAAAAUCAUAAAAUUUAUUUUCUAGGUACUCCAAAUACUCUAGAUCAAGUUUAACGGAGCCGAUCGACGAUUCGAAAGUCGCAACAUCGAAAACGAGCUGGAAGCACGAAAGGUUCCGUGCUUCCGAUAGCAUAGUAGCCUCACUCUAUAUAUAUAUAUAUAUAUAUAUAUAUAUAUAUUGUUAACGUCCUUUAAAACGGACGUCCGCUCCGAGUGCGGAAGUUGCGCACGUACGCGCUCCGUGCGGUGACUUCUCAUCGCGCACGGAUUCUCGGGCGGUUUUUUGAUGUCUAAUUAGCUGUGUGUAAUUAAAUGGGAUUGAACGUUGGUGGGAUUCUAACGUUACAUUCUAUUCCCCUGUAUAUUUGUAUGCUUGGCAUACUGUUCAUGUGGACAUAUGAACACGGCAGAGAGAGGAGUUUCUUCUUUUAAUUUCUAUUUUAUUUUGUUUGAUCUUUUAUCAUCGGGUGUUGAAAGAGUCUCCGUCACCCUCCUUCACGAUCGUGCUCGCAGGAAGAGGAAUUCCGAUCGUACGUACGUAAGGACGGAAAUACGCCCUAGGGCAGUGCCCCCGCACGCUUCCGGAUAAGAUCAAAUUUUUAUUAGAAUAUUUGCGUCUAUCUGUAAGUUCGAUUUUAGCUUUAUCACAAAAUUAGUUAUAUUUUUAAUCACAAUCAGAUUUUCUGUGAGGUAUUUGUUCUAACAUGAAGAAUGUAAAAUGACCAAAUUAUCUUUACUUAUCCUAUAAAGAAAAAAAUAAAUUUAAUAUAUUUUUGUCAUUUUUCAAGAAUAUUUUUAGUAUAAAUUAUAAAAAAUAGACAGAAUAGUGACAAAACCUGGACAGAGGAGGGUUAAAUGCAUCAAUUUGAAAUUUUGAGAGGAUAAAAUAUAGAUUUUUAAAGGUCACGGAAAAAAAAAAAACAAGAAGAAGCAUGUAUUUAGAGAAGAAUUUUCUACAUUUUAGACUAUGUUCUUUACUUUUUACACUGUACUAUUUUUCUUUUCAAAAGCACUUCUCAAUUAUCCCUUUUUUUUUUUUUUUUUUUUUCAAUCUCUAAACUAUAAGCAAAUUACUGGUUAAAAAUGACAUAACAUAUAUUCAACUCAUUUUGAGAUAAAAGUAAUAAAAUACAUAAAACAACAAAAAAGUACUUGAAAAUAAUUUAAUAGAAGUUUUCAUGAGUCCAUUAUGGAUAUUUAUUUUACAUUAUUUUUACUAUUUAACUAGCAUAAAACAAAGUUGUCAAAUUUUAUCAAAAACAAUAAAUUUGUUAAUAGUAAUAUAUAUAUUAACAAGAAAAAAAUAGUUGAGUAGUGUCUAGGAGAAAAGAAAAUAGUAGAACAAUAAAAUAAACUUUAUAAUAUAGGAUAGAAAUUAAUAAAAUAUAAUAAUACAAUAAUAUUUUUACAAAAAUAAUAAAAUAUUGUAAUUAAGUCUUAAUUCUUAUUUGUACAUCAUCAAUUUGCCGCCGGAGUAAUUUGAUUACGCGAUUAGAGUUUUAGUUUACACGUUAUCACUAGCCAGUGGGAGUGAAAACGGUCGAAUGCAGUCGACAUUUUUUGACAAAAUCAUGCUCGCAUUCAUAUUAUUUUUCGACGCGGAUAUGUACCAGAUACUAAAUUUUCAUUACCAUCUCUGGUAAAAAUGAAUUCGGAUUAAGAUAUAAGUCAGAUUUGCAUUCAGAUAUUAUUCAGAUAGUAAUAUAUAAUAAUAUACAUAUAUAAAAAUAAACUAAAAUGUGGUAUUCUUAGGAUUUAAAAUUGUCCUAUAUAUGAGAUACAAGAGGGGCUAAGUUUUUUAACUCCGCUAUAGUAUUUUGGGCGGUGAAUAAACUCAAGAAGGUAAUAGGAUUUCGAUGCGGAUAUGUACCAGAUACUAAAUUUUCAUUACCAUAUCUGCUAAAAAUAGAUUCGGAUUAAGAUAUAAGUUAGAUUUGCAUUCAAGUAUUAUUCAGAUAGUAAUAUAUAAUAAUAUACAUAUAUAAAUAUAAACUAAAAUGUGGUAUUCUUAGAAUUUGGAAUAGUCCUAUUUAUAAGAUAUAAGAGAGACUAAGUUUUUUAACUCGACUAUAGUAUUUUGAGCGGUAAAUAAACUCAAGAAGGUAACAGGAUUAAGCGUGCUAGAGCUAAAAUAGUUUUAGAAUGGAUGAUUCCCGGAAAGUGAGGCAUCACAUAAAAUUAGAAGGAAAAAGACAAAAUAAUUAAAGAUUUAUAGUCAUGUUCAAACUUCAAACUCCAUAUACAAUUUUAACAUGAGAAUUAUAGUAAAAUAAACGGAGAAUACAGUAGAAAAUUACUUUAUCUCCCUACAAUACAUUAAUAUCUCUCUUUUAUUUUUAUGGGAUGAAAACCGUUGAAUACGAUCAAAUUUCUUAAAAAACCACAUUCACAUCCAUAGUAUUUUUCAAUUUUUUUUAGGUACAAAGGUAGAUAUGAAUAUAUAUCGAAUGCUAAAUUUUAACAUGAGAAGUAAUUUGGUACUUUAUUUUAUAAAAAAAUAUAAAAGAUCUUAACUAUUGAUGGAUAGAGAGUAAAGAUAUAAUUUUAAUAUAUAGUAGGUAAAAGGGUUAAUUCGUUCGAGAAUAUUUUAUAAUUAAAUUAUGCAAACUUUAAAGAAAUUUUUGAUUAAUAUCCUAAAUUUAGGCAUUAAUUUUGUAUUAAUUUUAGGAAUUGAUUGACAUUCCAAAUUUAGGCAUUUAUUUUAGAAAUUUUCAUGUUUCUCUCAUUUAGGCAUUAAUUUAAAUUAUAGCAAUUUUAGAAAUAGUACUAUUUCUAAGUACGUUGAAUUUUAAAUUUAAAAAUUUAAAUUUUAAGUUAGAGAAAUUUUGUAUUAACGUAUAGCAGGUAAAAGAAUUAGUUCAUUGGAGAUUAUUUUUUAAUUAAAUCAUGCAAAAUUUAAAGAAAUUUUGCAUUGAACUUUAUCCAAACCACUUUAGGCCCUACUAAGUACUAACCAUGAAUUUAUACUUAGGGUUAAUUACACCAAUGGUCCCUAACCUUUACACUAUUUUUCAAUUUGGUCCCCAACCUUUUUUUUUUUGCAAUCAAGUCCCUAUUCUUUUGAUUUCAUUUCAAUUAAGUUCCAGUCGUUAGAUAACUGUUAAAAUUGACGAAAAAUGCCACGUCAGUGCCACGGAGGCGCCAUGUCAGCGCCACGGAGGCGUCGUGUCAGCGCCAUGGUGGCGUUGUGUUAGCGGAUUGCAAAAAAAAACAGGUUGGGGGCCAAAUUAAAAAACGGUGCAAAGGUUGGGGACCAAUGGUGUAAUUAACCUAUUAAAUUUAUAUAUUCAAAAAAAAAAUUUAAGAUUUAAAUUUUAAAUUUAAAUUUUGAUUUUGGAUUCAAAUUUAAAUUGGAAUUCAAAUUCCGAUUUUGUAUUUAAUUUUAAAUAUUUAAUUUUAAAUUCAAAUUCACAUUUGGAAUUCUAAAUUCUAAUUUAAUUUCAAACUUUGAUUUGAAAUUUCAAAUUCAAAAUGUGAAUUUGAAUUCGAAGUUUAAAUUCAAAUUUAGAAUUGAAAUCAAAUCUUAAAUUCAAAUUUAAAUUUUGAAUUCAAAUUUAAAAUUUAAAAUCAAAAUUUUGAAUAUGAUUUUAAAUUUAAAUUCAGAUUUUAAAUUUAAAUUUCGGUUUCAAAACUUUCAGUUUAAAUAUAAAUUGAAAUAUCAAAAUCAAAAUCAAAAUUUUAAGUUUGAAUUCAAAAUUUAGAUUCAAUUAAAAAUUUAAAUUUAAAAUUUGAAUUUCAAUUCAAAAUUUUAACUUAGCUUUAAAUUCAAAUUCAAAAUUCUAAUUUCUUGUUUGUUUAAAAUUUUAAUUUUAAUAUUAUUUUUGAAUUUAAAUUUAAAAUUUUGAAUUUUUAUUUUUAGGGACUAAAAUGAAAAAUGUGCAAAGUAUAGAAAUCUAAAUUAACAUGCAAAAGGAUGCCAAAUAGGCGCUGACGUGGCUAUUUCGUUAAUUUUAAUAUUUUUUUUAACGGUUGGGACGUAAUUGUAAUAAAAUUAAAAGAUUAGGAACUCAAUUACAAAGAGAAAAAGGUUAGGGACUCAAGUAAAAAUUGCUGCAAAGGUUGGCUACCGGUGUAAUUAACCCUUUAUUCUUAUUCUAGUACUGAAGCAGAGAAUAUAAAAUAAUCUUUUUCGAUGGCACAGAUUUGUCCUUGCUUAUAAUAUAAUACAUCUGUAGUUGAAAGUGACAUAAAAUUAAAGUUUAUAUUGUUAAAAAAAAACAAAAGAUUAAGGUCAAUUUUUAAUUUCCUAAAUAAAUAAGUUUUUAAAUUUUAUUUACUAUAAAAUUAAUCUAUGCUAAUAGAAAAUAAAACUAGUUAAAUUGAUUUAAAGUCGUCAAAUUUUUUAAUAUGACUUUGAUAAAAGAAAAUUUAUGUGGUUUGAUUCAAACUGGAUCGGUUCACUAGUUUGAUGGUUGACCCGACGGUUCGAACAAUUCAAAACUAUUUUUUGACAAAUUUGAUUCAAAGGGUUGUACUGAACCAUUUUAUUUAACCUAGUCACGAUCAACCAUGCCCAUGUUUUAAAUUAUUGACAAAUACCUUUCGUUACGAAAGCUACUAACACCUUUUUUUUUUUUGUAACCGUACUUUCUAUCAUAAUUUUGCGUAAGGAUUUAAGCUUAAUUUUGUUCACUUAAAAAAUUAUUUGACGACUAUAAAUAGAAUUUUUUUUUUCUUUCCUCCAGAGAGGGUAAUAUUACCACCUAAUAUAUGGAAUAGUAAAAAUUUAUAAAUGCACUUUUCAACUGUAUGCAACUAAAUAAAGUAUUUAUAACUGUAAUAUUUUUUACUAUAUCCAAUCAAACAAGGUGCAUGAAAUUAUAAUUGUUAUAUUUUUAACAUCAUGGAUCUUUACCUAUACUGUAUUUGUAAUUAGAUCGAAUCAAAUAAUCUUGAAUAAGAUAUACCUACUAACUGUUCUAGCAGUAUAAUGGCUCUUGCAUAUUAAUGUGAAAAAUAGAGCGAGGCUACUAUGCUUUUGGAAGCACGAAGUCUUCCGUGCUUUCCGGUCGUUUUCGAUGUUGCAAUUUUCGAAUCGUCGAUCGGCUCCGUUAAACUUGAUCUAGAGUAUUUGAAGUAACUAGAAAAUAAAUUUUAUGAUUUUUCGAUAUCAUUUGCCUAGUGAUAGAAAGGGCUCAAAAUUAAUAAUUUUAAUGGCUGUAGCGAGCCGUUUGCAAGUUUAACAGUGCAGAAAUAUUCAAAUAACGUGAAAUUUUGAUAGAAAGUUUUUUAUACUAUAUAAAACAAGAUCAAUACCUUUGAUCUAAAAUUUUAAUGUCAUAUUAUCAUAUUUUGUAAGAUUUUUAUUUUCAGUCGUUGAUUUUUGAGCCCUUUCGUUCACUAGGCAAAUAAUAUCGAAAAAAGAGCAUAAUUUAUUUUCUAGGUACCUCAAAUACUCUAGACCAAAUUUAACGGAGCCGAUCGACGAUUCGAAAGUCGCAACAUGAAAAAUAACCUGUAAAUACGGAAGGCUCGUACUUCUAGAAGCACAGUAGUCUUACUCGUGAAAAAUAUGUGGAAGUACAAUAGCUGCAAUAUAUAAAAAGUAAAAAUGUAGUACUUGAAAAGACAAAAAGAGUUUGCCAUACUUUUUUUGAGAAUUAAGAGUUGCAUACUUGACAAGACAAAAAGAGUUGACAUAGCAACCUGACAGGUAGUUUGUUUGUACAGAAGGAAAAGAAAAAAAAUAAAAUAAAAUAAAAUUCUUUCCUCAACACAUGAGAGAUGGGAAUGUUGAAAUUUUAUCACAAAGCAAAAACACCUGACAAUUUAUUUUCGCAUCAUUCUCAACAAUAAAACAUCUGAAUCCACAUGCAAUAAUAUUAAAUAUAAUAUAGAAGAUUAUUUUGGGGGGCCAUAUGGGGUCCACUUUUUUUUUUUUUUUUCUCUCUCUCACCCUCUUUCACACACUUUACAAAUUUUCUUUUAUUUUUUUAUUAUUUUAUUUUAUUUUUAUUUAUUUAUUUAUAAUUUAUAUUUAUAAACUUAUUAAUUGAUAGCUUUUUGGAGCUCUCUCUGGGUUUGGGGGGCCAUAUGGGGCCCCUUUUCUUCUCUCUCUCUCUCUCUCUCUCUCUCUCUCACACUUUACACAUUUUCUUUUUUUCUUUUUUAAUUUUUAUUUAUUUAUUUAUUUAUAAUUUGUAUUUAUAAAUAAAUAAGAUCUUUUCUUGUUUUGAGGGGUUUAUAAACUUAUUAAUUGGGAACCAUUUCGCGCUUUCUCCGGAUUUAGGGGGGCCGUGUAGGAUCCACUUUUUUUUUUCUCUUAUUCUCUCUCACACACUUUACACAUUUUCUUUUUUUAUUUUUUUAUUUUAUUUUUAUUUAUUUAUUUAUAAUUUAUAUUUAUAAAUAAAUAAAUAUACUAAUUUGGAACCAAAAAAGACCUUUCCUUAUUUUGGGGGUUUAUGGGGCUACAUCAACUUUUUAAAGAAUUAAUUGCACAUUGGGUUUCAAUUUUUUCGCUCUUUUUAUUUUGGUCCCUAAUUCCUAAACUUUGCAUGUUUUUCACUUUAGUUCCCAAAUAAUUUUUAAGGAUUAAUUUAUAUAAUAAUAUAAUAUUUGGUAGUUAAUUUUUUUUUACAGUGCAAAAAAUAUUUAUUUUGAUUUCGAAUGCCUUUUUAUUAAUGUUAUUUUUUGUGCUUCUGAUAAUUAGCUACUGAUUUCUUCACUAAUUUAAAAUUUAGGAAUCAAAUAUUUUAUCAGUUGUAUGCGUAACGAUAAAAGUUAAUGAUAGCAUAAUGAAAACGUUGCUGCAAAAAAACUCUACUUAAUUUUUUUUUAUUUUUUUUAAUUCUACCUUGAUGAUAAUAGAAAAAUAUUUUUUUAUCUUUCUUAAUACUGUAAUAAUCUUUUAUUUUAUUUUAAACUGAUUUAUUCGUUUUACUUAUUAAAUUUAAAUAUUUUUAGAAAGAAAUAUACUUUAAUUUCAUUUUUUAAUUUAUUCUUUACUUUUUAAUUAUUCAAUACUGAAAUAAAUAAUAUUUAAAAAUAUUAAUGUAUAAUAAAAAAAAUAAUAUUAAUAGUUAUAAUAAUUUACUAUUAUAUUAUUUUCCCGCUGCAUUGUGGGGCUCUUUAACUAGUAAUCUUAUAAAACUUCAAAAUACAAAGAAACCUACCUUGGAUUUUUAAUAAUUUUCUUCAAAAAAAUAAUAUUAAUAGUUAUAAUAAUUUUCUUCUCUUCCACUUUUGAUAAUUAAGCAGAAAAUUUUUUUAAAAAACACGAACCUACCUUGGAUUUUUAUUACUUUUUUAUAUUUUAAAACUAUAACAUUACAUACAAAACAUAAAAAAAAAACUUUAUAAUAUUAUAAACUUCUCUUUCACUAUUUCUUAUGAGAUUUAUUUUCAGCCAUUUAUUUUGAAAUGCUCGUUCACUAGAAAAAUAAAGUCGAUAGUUCUAAUACUGUAUAUCAUGUCUGAUGGAAUCGAUCGUCGAAUUGGAUAUCCCAUCGUCGAAAAUAAUUUAAAAGUAAGAAGGUCUCCGUCCGUCCAUAUAGGGUAGGAGCAGUGUUGAAUUAUUUGAUAAAAUCAGGAAACCUCUUUAUAAAUGCCUUUUUUUUACUUUUCUGUUUGAAUUUCAAAAUCUAUAUUUUACUCUCUUAAAAUUUUAAGUUGAUGCAUUAAUUUCCCUCCGUCAGGUUUUCGUCACUAUUCCGACCAUUUCGUAUAAUUUAUACAGAAAAUACUUUGGAACAUGCCCUAAAAAAUAACAAAAAUAUGUUAAAAAAAUUUAUUACACAACAAGUAUUAAUAAUUUAAUUAUUUCGCUCGUUUCAUUAACACCGUAAUUUUUUAAAGUUAUUUUUAAUUUUUUAAAUAAAAUAUAUAUUUAAAAAUUAAAAAAAUAAUAAAUAAAUAUUUUUUAUAUUUUAUUUUUUAAAAUUAUAAAAAAUAUUGUUAAGAACGCGAGCCAGCAUAUCAACAACCUUCAGCCUGAGGAGAGGGAGGAAUUCUACACUAUUACACUUGCACCACAUCAUCAAUAACAAGCCAAUCACCUUUCUUCUUUUCAAACAAAAGUACAAUAAAAAUACUUUUUUAUAAUCAUGAUGGGACAUAAAUCUUUAAAAGGAGAUUUUUGAUUGAUUUGUUACGCCACGUCAUCAAUAUACCCAUUGUAUUCUAAAAUUUUUCGAGGGGAGGGGGUGUCACGUGAACAAAGCUUAACAAAAUUAGCCCCUCUCUCUCUCUCUCUCUCUCUCUCUCUCUCUCAU